GCCUUCGUGCAAAGACCGGUCCUAUUUCGUUUCAACCAGUGCAAUUCAGAACCCGGUAUGCUAAAGACUACUUUUAGAGGACUAAAACAAUGUAGUUCACUUAUAAACUACAUCGUUUUAGUCUAGAACUCUAUUCCAUAAAAGAACAAGUUAAAGAUCGUAUUUUUACACCUUCAACUCUAAAUUUCUUUUAUCUCCGCCAAAUAUGAGAGGAGAUUGAGUGAUCAGAUCCUAUUUUCCUCACAGACUACCUUUGUUCGACUCUUUCCCCUCUCCUCUAUCCCACCCUAUAAGAACCAAGAUUCAAUUUUUGCCAUUCUACUCCAAAUCGAACCCCAAAUGGAAAACCUAGCAUGCCUUCUCCUCUUUUGAUUUUGAAUGAAAUCGGCCACCGAUUGACCUUGAAACCUACGUCAAUCGAUAGAUCUCUUUGAGGUCUAUGUAUUGAAGAAGGAUUCAUGUUAUUUCGCGGUGGCCAACGCUCGGUCAAACCUCGGUUGACUUGCUAAGAGUCGCUGAAAUUUCUCUUUCUUCUAUACAUCCGGCUCACAGUAGUUAUCAUGGUAUAUACAACUAGCUAAACUGUAAAGAUUCCAAGCAAGUGGUCAUGUAACGAUAACCACUGUUGGCUGAAAUUUUCUUUGCCAGUCAGUUUGAACAUCCACAUGUAAUGCUUAGACAGGGUCUCGAGGGGCUCGGGUGAGUUUCAGACGGGUUUCAGACCAUUUUGGGCCAUGUUAGUUCUGUUGGUUUUUGCUGCUUCAUUUUUUCUUCGAGUUUGCGUCCCUAUAUAUUCAUGUUCGUGCAAUGUUAGUGGUGGUAUUCUUUGCGUUCGCAUCCCUUUUUUCGUGUUCGCGUAGUGUUGAGCUGGGCUGGGCAGGUCAUGAUGGAUUCCUCUUCGCAUUCGCGCUGGUGUCUACGCGUUCCAUAUGGUCUGGCAGUUGUGUUUUUCGCAUUCGCGAGGGUUGCUCUACAAACACGUAGCAUUAUUUCGCAACAAUGUAUUUUGUGCAUUGCGAUCGCGAGGGUACAACUGCGAUGGCGUAGGGUACCACUGGGCAGAGCAUAUGAGUACUCUAUUUCGGACCUUGAGCUCAUUUUAUCACAUUUUGAGUUAUGGAGCUUGAAUUUGGGCAAUUUUGGAGAGGAUUUUAACCUCAUGGAUUCAGGUAAGUAUUUUUUACCUAGUUUUGAUUAUAUUCCAUGAUUCCAUCUUCGAUUUUGGCAUUUGAUUGAUGAAUUUAAAAGAGAAAUUGGGGGGGGGGGGGGGGGUUUGUCUAAACUUCUCUAAAGUGAUUAAUUGAGUUUUGAACAUCGAUUCAGAGUCGGAUUUGAGUGAAAUUAGUAUGGUUGGACUCACAAUUGAAUGGGUUAUCAAAAUUUGUGAGUUUUUUCGGUUUUGGAAUACGAGACUAGAUUGACCUUUUGGUUGACUUUGAGUAUUUGAUUGAAAAUUCGACCCUUUUCAUUUGGGUUUGUUUUCUUUGGCAUUAAUUGAUGAUUUUGAGAUGCUUUUGGCUAAUUUCGAGCCGUUCGGAGGCUGAUUCACAUGAGAUGGCAUUUAUAGGGUAUUAUUUGGCUUGCUCGUAUUUGAUUUGUCUUGUUCGAGUUAAGUAAUAUAUCUAAACUUGGAUUUGAGGUAAUUAUCCCCGAAAACUAUGAUAUUUGAGAUGGGUUAGAGGUGACGCACGUGCUAGGUGACGAGCGUGUGUGCGUGCACUGAAAUAUAUUCAUAAUACAGGUAGUUUUAUGCUAUUAUGUGCCUUGUUUUGCUACCAUGCUUCUUUGAUAUCAUGUUUUCUCCAUUUAUAUGAUUAUGUGAGAUGGUAUUCAUGCUAGAAAUUAUGUCUAGGCCACCUGCUCAAUUAUUGAGACAUGAUAGGACUAUUUUUCCAUGUUGAGCUAAUUGCCUUAGCCGUAGUCAUAAUGUUUCAGUCAUAAUAGUUAUAUCCGCAUGUUAUAUCUCUACCUUUGUACAUUUGUUAUAUGUUAUCUCACUUGUUAUUGGUGUCUUAGUACGUGACACAGGUUGAUUUAUAAUUGAGGCAUAUUGGGGUAUUCCAUGUUAUAUGAUUGGAUUAUGUUUCUGUGAUAUAUUGAGAUAUGGAGACUUGAGCGGAUUGAUGACUGAUGUAGGCCGUAGAGCUGUGUUGUGAGUUAUGUUGGAUCGGGUUGCACACAACAACGAUUAUAUUGAUAUUGAGGCGACGCAUACACCAGGACCCACAUUGGGCUAAGUAUUACAGAUUUUGAGGCUACGCAUGCACCAGACCAUAUUAGCUUAUGAUUAGCAUUUGGGCAGGAUCCAUUCCUCCGGAGUCCGACAUAUCAGCAAUGGGCUCAAGUGCAGUGUUUUAUAUGCAUGCUUUAGUGAUGGGAAUUUAUGUCAGGCACCCAUACAGUGCUACGUGUUGCUGUGUAUGAUCGUGAGGGCCUUGGACCAGGUACUGUAAGUGUGGUAAGUGUGUUUAUUCUUGGUUGUUUCACUGUGAUGAUAUUUAGUUGACAUGUAUAUUUUUGACAUGUAGGCAUAGAUAUGUAUUUUUCUCAUGCUAGACAGUUUAUGACUUCUGAUGACUUGGCAUGUAUAUUGACAUGUAGGUAUAAGGAUGUAUAUUCCUCUUGCUAGACGGUAAUAUGAUAUUUGAUAAUUUGAAAUUUAUAUUUGACAGAUAAGCAUAGAGGUGUAUAUUUUUCAUGCUAGACGAUAUAUGAUAAUUACUGACUUGACAUGUAUACUAAUAUGUAGGCAUAAAGAUGUACUUUUCUCAUGCUAAUUGGUAAAUAGAGAUUCUUAUCUAGUGUUGUGAAUUGGAAAUAUAGAGUUAGUUUGAUAAACUCAUGCUUAGUUGAUUUUGAUGCUAAGGUUUAGACUUUGACUGUCAUACUUAAAAAGCAUAUCUAUUUUUCUGUAACUAUGACCGAGUUGAGCAUAAUAUUUUUCUGAGUUGUUACUAUUUCCGGCAUUAUCAUAUCUCAUGUUAUUAUCGAUUAUUUGAUGUUAGACUCUGACUAUCUUCCAAGCUCGUCACUGCUUUCAACCUGAGGUUAGGUUUGCUACUUAUUGAGUACAUGAGGUCGGUUGUACUCAUACUACACUUCUGCACCUUGCAUGCAUAUCUUGGUGUUGAUGCUCUGUGUAUAGCGGGAGCUGGCAUUGAAGAUGUACCUACUUUUCGGAUAUAGCUACUACUUGUCAUUGGUAGUUUUAAAACUUAAAUUUUGUUUAUAUAUAUUCCAAAUAGAUGUUGUAUUAUUUCAUACUGGCUUUGUAAAUCUAAGUCUUAGUGGCUCGUGACUUGUACUAUCAAUCCUUGAGGUUAAUGCAUAGAAGUUCAGUUAUUCAUUUAA